GAUGAACGCUGGCGGCGUGCCUAAUACAUGCAAGUCGAGCGAACGGACGAGAAGCUUGCUUCUCUGAUGUUAGCGGCGGACGGGUGAGUAACACGUGGAUAACCUACCUAUAAGACUGGGAUAACUUCGGGAACCGGAGCUAAUACCGGAUAAUAUUUUGAACCGCAUGGUUCAAAAGUGAAAGACGGUCUUGCUGUCACUUAUAGAUGGAUCCGCGCUGCAUUAGCUAGUUGGUAAGGUAACGGCUUACCAAGGCAACGAUGCAUAGCCGACCUGAGAGGGUGAUCGGCCACACUGGAACUGAGACACGGUCCAGACUCCUACGGGAGGCGGCAGUAGGGAAUCUUCCGCAAUGGGCGAAAGCCUGACGGAGCAACGCCGCGUGAGUGAUGAAGGUCUUUGGAUCGUAAAACUCUGUUAUUAGGGAAGAACAUAUGUGUAAGUAACUGUGCACAUCUUGACGGUACCUAAUCAGAAAGCCACGGCUAACUACGUG
rnacentral:rRNA from 1 species